rnacentral:tRNA from 1 species
GUAGUUGUAGCUUACAUCAAAGCGUAGUGUUGAAAACCCUAAGUCGAGCCCACGCUCCAAAUACA